GGGCCUGUAGCUCAGGUAGUUAGAGCGCACGCCUGAUAAGCGUGAGGUCGGUGGUGCAACUCCACCCAGGCCCA
rnacentral:tRNA from 1 species